AUGGGCAUGUCGAUCUGUUCAGGUCAGGAGUCUUAUCAAACAUGUGAAGUUUGGGGCAGAUUGGACAUUGUAUGUCUGAGUUAUAGCAACUUCCUUUUUCAUGGCGAAUCAUCGAAAUUCGUCAGGCCGCCAUGGACACGCCCUUCAACGAAAACUCAAGAUCUUCGCAAUUUAACAUCGCAAAGGCCUUUUUAAUUUUAUGAGCAAAUUUUGCAUCAUUUUUGUCAUUUGCAUGCCUUGUAUUUUAACGAACUCCUCCUAGAGAUUUAUUCAGAUCAACACCAAAUUUGGUAUGCCUAAUCUAAAGGCCUUUGCGAUGUUAAAUUGCGAAGAUCUUGAGUUUUCGUUGAAGGGCGUGUCCAUGGCGGCCUGACGAAUUUCGAUGAUUCGCCAUGAAAAAGGAAGUUGCUAUAACUCAGACAUACAAUGUCCAAUCUGCCCCAAACUUCACAUGUUUGAUAAUACUCCUGACCUGAACAGAUCGACAUGCCCAUAUUCAGUUAUAGUCAUAGCGCCACCUAUUGGCAACAGGAAGUGACAUAUUUUACACUGCGACGAACUACUCAUAGAAAUUUUAUGACAUCAAUGUCUUUUUUGUGGUCAGUCUAAUCUAAAGGCCUGUGCAAUGUUAAAUUGUGAAGAUCUUGAGUUUUCGUGUCCAUGGGCGUGUCCAAGGGCGUGUCCAUGGCGCCGUCACAAAGUUCGAUGUCUCGCCAUGGGAAUAAAAGUUAUUGUAACUCAGGCAUAAAAUGUCCGAUCUUGCCCAAACUUCACAUGUUUGAUAAGAGUCCUGGCCUGAAUACAUCUGAAGGCCAAUAUUCCAUUGGGUGUGGCAAAAUGCCUCUAUAGCGCCACCUAUACAUUUUCAACGGAGUGCGCCUCGAGCUACGUUUCACGUACAUGUACGAAAAUCGGUACACACAUGUAACACACCAAUACCUACAAAAAAGUCUCUUGGUACGAAAUCCGAAUCCCAACAGGAAGUCGGUUAUUUUGAAUUUUCCCUGCAAAAUUGGUGUUGUUUUUGCCA
ensembl:lncRNA